ensembl:lncRNA
AUAUGUAUAUACAGUACAUAUAGGCUCCCUGCAUAUAUGUAUAUAUAGUAUAUAUAUGCAUUUAUGUAUAUAUAGGCUCCCUGCAUAUAUGUAUAUAUAGGUUCCCUGCAUAUAUGUAUAUACAGUACAUAUAGGCUCCCUGCAUAUAUGUAUAUAUAAUAUAUAGGCUCCCUGCAUAUAUGUAUAUAUAGUAUAUAUAGGCUCCCUGCAUAUAUGUAUAUAUAGUAUAUAUAGGCUCCCUGCAUAUAUGUAUAUACAGUAUAUAGGCUCCCUGCAUAUAUGUAUAUACAGUAUAUAUAGGCUCCCUGCAUAUAUGUAUAUAUAAUAUAUAGGCUCCCUGCAUAUAUGUAUAUAUAGUAUAUAUAGGCUCCCUGCAUAUAUGUAUAUACAGUAUAUAGGCUCCCUGCAUAUAUGUAUAUACA